AGCAGCCGCGGUAAUUCCAGCUCCAAUAGCGUAUAUUAAAGUUGUUGCAGUUAAAAAGCUCGUAGUUGAAUUUCGGGAUCAAUAUAUCGGUCGUGCCAUUGGUACGUACUGGUAUCAUUGGUUUCUCCUUUCUGACGAACCAUGAUGUCAUUAAUUUGGUGUUAUGGGAAGUUAGGACUGUUACUUUGAAAAAAUUAGAGUGUUUAAAGCAGGCUUUAGCUUGAAUACAUUAGCAUGGAAUAAUGAAAUAGGACGUUCGAACCUAUUUUGUUGGUUUCUAGGAUCAACGUAAUGAUUAAUAGGGAUAGUUGGGGGCAUUAGUAUUCAAUUGUCAGAGGUGAAAUUCUUGGAUUUAUUGAAGACUAACUACUGCGAAAGCAUUUGCCAAGGAUGUUUUCAUUAAUCAAGAACGAAAGUUAGGGGAUCGAAGACGAUCAGAUACCGUCGUAGUCUUAACACUAAACUAUAGCGACUAGGGAGUCGGAGUGAUGUUAAUUUUUUAAUUUAGUACUCAUUCGGC
rnacentral:rRNA from 1 species